UGCCAGCCUUGAUCGACACCAAAGACGCAGUAAUCUCUCUCUGGCCCGAGGGGAGCAGCAACGUUUGUGAAACAGAUUUUUACAAAAUGUUUUGACCCUGCUCUCCCCUCCCCCCGCAUCCCUGCCUGGCACCGUGUCACCUAAUUAAAUCAGCCUUCGCGGGCGUCUCCGCUCCCUGCUAAUUGUGCCCUGGGCCGGCUUCCGGAGCUGCCCAAGGACCGGGGCCCAGAUCUGAAAUGACCUGGGGCCUCGGGAAGGCCAGCCGGAGCGUAUCCGAGUAAUUGUCUCCGCCAGAC
rnacentral:lncRNA from 1 species